rnacentral:rRNA from 1 species
UACAUGGGGUGCAAACGUUGCUCGGAAUUAUUGGGCGUAAAGCGCACGUAGGCGGUUCGUUAAGUCGGAUGUGAAAGCCCUCGGCUCAACUGAGGAAGUGCACCCGAAACUGGCGAGCUUGAGUACGAAAGAGGAUCGCGGAAUUCCCGGUGUAGAGGUGAAAUUCGUAGAUAUCGGGAGGAACACCGGUGGCGAAGGCGGCGAUCUGGGUCGAUACUGACGCUGAGACGCGAAAGCGUGGGGAGCGAACAGG